GGGGAACCCAUGGCGGUUCACGCCGUCGUGGUGGGCCACAGGCCGUUUACUUUGAAAAAAUUAGAGUGUUCAAAGCAGGCUGUUGCUUGAAUAGAUUAGCAUGGAAUAAUGGAAUAGGACCUUGGUGCUAUUUCGUUGGUUAUGGGACUGGGGUAAUGAUUAAUAGGGACAGUUGGGGCCGUUCAUAUUUCGUUGUCAGAGGUGAAAUUCUUGGAUUUACGAACGAUGAACUUGUGCGAAAGCAUUCGGCAAGGAUGUUUUCAUUGAUCAAGAACGAAAGUUAGGGGAUCGAAGACGAUCAGAUACCGUCGUAGUCUUAACCAUAAACUAUGCCAACUAGGGAUCAUUGAGUGUCAAUUUACGACCUCAUUGGCACCUUGUGAGAAAUCAAAGUUUUUGGGUUCCGGGGGGAGUAUGGUCGCAAGGCUGAAACUUAAAGGAAUUGACGGAAGGGCACCACCAGGAGUGGAGCCUGCGGCUUAAUUUGACUCAACACGGGGAAACUUACCAGGUCCAGACAUAGUCAGGAUGGACAGAUUGAAAGCUCUUUCUUGAUUCUAUGGGUGGUGGUGCAUGGCCGUUCUUAGUUGGUGGAGUGAUUUGUCUGGUUAAUUCC
rnacentral:rRNA from 1 species